rnacentral:rRNA from 1 species
GACGAACGCUGGCGGCGUGCUUAACACAUGCAAGUCGAACGGAAAGGCCCUGCUUUUGUAGGGUGCUCGAGUGGCGAACGGGCGAGUAACACGUGAGUAACCUGCCCUUGACUUUGGGAUAACUUCAGGAAACUGGGGCUAAUACCGGAUAGGAGCUCCUGCUGCAUGGUGGGGGUUGGAAAGUUUCGGCGGUUGGGGAUGGACUCGCGGCUUAUCAGCUUGUUGGUGGGGUAGUGGCUUACCAAGGCUUUGACGGGUAGCCGGCCUGAGAGGGUGACCGGCCACAUUGGGACUGAGAUACGGCCCAGACUCCUACGGGAGGCAGCAGUGGGGAAUAUUGCACAAUGGGCGGAAGCCUGAUGCAGCAACGCCGCGUGCGGGAUGACGGCCUUCGGGUUGUAAACCGCUUUCGCCUGUGACGAAGCGUGAGUGACGGUAAUGGGUAAAGAAGCACCGGCUAACUACGUG